rnacentral:rRNA from 1 species
GACGAACGCUGGCGGCGUGCCUAAUACAUGCAAGUUGAGCGCUGAAGGUUGGUACUUGUACCAACUGGAUGAGCAGCGAACGGGUGAGUAACGCGUGGGGAAUCUGCCUUUGAGCGGGGGACAACAUUUGGAAACGAAUGCUAAUACCGCAUAAAAACUUUAAACACAAGUUUUAAGUUUGAAAGAUGCAAUUACAUCACUCAAAGAUGAUCCCGCGUUGUAUUAGCUAGUUGGUGAGGUAAAGGCUCACCAAGGCGAUGAUACAUAGCCGACCUGAGAGGGUGAUCGGCCACAUUGGGACUGAGACACGGCCCAAACUCCUACGGGAGGCAGCAGUAGGGAAUCUUCGGCAAUGGACGAAAGUCUGACCGAGCAACGCCGCGUGAGGGAAGAAGGUUGUCGGAUCGUAAAACUCUGUUGGUAGAGAAGAACGUUGGUGAGAGUGGAAAGCUCAUCAAGUGACGGUAACUACCCAGAAGGGGACGGCUAACUACGUG